GUUUGGGGUUGAGGGGUUUACUGGCCAGUUUUUCCAUGUUUCUCAAAUAAAAUUCUGGUGUCAUCAAGAAACACUGUGGAGGGAGACAUGAAGGCUUUAGAGACAGGAACCACUGCAGAAAUAUCAGGAGAUGGGGAGACAGAGGAAAGAAAGGAGAGAUCUGUGGAUUCCGUGAGCACCCCAAAUUGGAACCACUCCUUACCGUGUCUCAAGGAAGCAACAGACCUCCAAACUGCAUGGAGUACCUCAAAAGAGCAAGACCCAAGCAAAAAGAAUGCUGCCUGAUUUCCUGACAUUAACAAUGAACACAGUCAGACUCAAGAGGAGGAAACUACUGGGACCACAGCAGUCAAGGAAACACCAUCAACACCCAGUCUUCCUC
rnacentral:lncRNA from 1 species